rnacentral:rRNA from 1 species
ACGAACGUUGGCGGCGUGCUUAAUACAUGCAAGUCAACUGAAGCAGUGGUAGCAAUAUCGCUGUGGAGGUGGCGCACGGGUGAGUAACACGUAGGUAAUCUGCCUUCAGGUCUGGCAUAACUCCGGGAAACCGGGGCUAAUAGCAGAUGAUGCAGCGGCUCGACAUCGAGACAGUUGUUAAAGCUAUGGCGCCUGAAGAUGAGCCUGCGUCUGAUUAGCUAGUUGGCGGGGUAACGGCCCACCAAGGCAACGAUCAGUAGCUGGUCUGAGAGGAUGAUCAGCCACACUGGAACUGAGACACGGUCCAGACUCCUACGGGAGGCAGCAGUAAGGAAUAUUGCUCAAUGGGAGAAAUCCUGAAGCAGCAACGCCGCGUGAGGGACGAAGGGCUUUUGCUUGUAAACCUCUGUAGUGAGAGAAAAAAAUCCCAAUCUUUGGGACAUGAUGGUAGCUCAAAAGUAAGCCCCGGCUAACUACGUG